ACUCCUACGGGAGGCAGCAGUGGGGAAUAUUGCACAAUGGGCGCAAGCCUGAUGCAGCCAUGCCGCGUGUAUGAAGAAGGCCUUCGGGUUGUAAAGUACUUUCAGCAGUGAGGAAGGCAGGUUCGUUAAUAGCGUGCUUGUUUGACGUUAGCUGCAGAAGAAGCACCGGCUAACUCCGUGCCAGCAGCCGCGGUAAUACGGAGGGUGCGAGCGUUAAUCGGAAUUACUGGGCGUAAAGCGCAUGCAGGUGGUUCGUUAAGUCAGAUGUGAAAGCCCGGGGCUCAACCUCGGAAUUGCAUUUGAAACUGGCGGACUAGAGUACUGUAGAGGGGGGUAGAAUUUCAGGUGUAGCGGUGAAAUGCGUAGAGAUCUGAAGGAAUACCGGUGGCGAAGGCGGCCCCCCUGGACAGAUACUGACACUCAGAUGCGAAAGCGUGGGGAGCAAACAGGAUUAGAUA
rnacentral:rRNA from 1 species